GCGAGACGCUCGAAAGGAUCAAGUCUAGAGGAAGUAAUCCAGAUCGGCCCGUCCUCUCGGCGAGCGUGUCGCGCGACCGAAGCACCAGAUCAAUCAACGUGUCCGGUACUCAAAGCUCAUGAAUGACACUAUGCAAGCUUUCGCGAGGAAACUCGACAGAAGCCACGUCGACCGUGUUACUUGCUGUUCGACUAUUCUACACCAUCACAAGUAUCAUUCGGAAUUUUGUGCGAGUGACGCACGGUGAAAAAUGUUUCGGGGAUUCAGCGUGGAAAAUGUCCGUUUUCGGACUCGCUGUUUGCCCUGGACACUCCACGGAAAUUGAUAAAUCGAGAUUCUUGAUUUUUUUUUUUUUUUAAAUUCAUU